rfam:Streptomyces malaysiense strain MTSC 136 19, whole genome shotgun sequence.
UCGGCCCCGGUUCACGUCUCCGCAGCCCGCGGCGGCGACCCGGCGCC